UAUGGAAUUGGUUUUUCUGAAGUGACAGGC
rnacentral:piRNA from 1 species